rnacentral:rRNA from 1 species
CCUACGGGAGGCAGCAGUGGGGAAUUUUGGACAAUGGGCGCAAGCCUGAUCCAGCAAUGCCGCGUGAGUGAAGAAGGCCUUCGGGUUGUAAAGCUCUUUUGUCAGGGAAGAAACGGUGGAGGUUAAUACCUUCUGCUAAUGACGGUACCUGAAGAAUAAGCACCGGCUAACUACGUGCCAGCAGCCGCGGUAAUACGUAGGGUGCAAGCGUUAAUCGGAAUUACUGGGCGUAAAGCGUGCGCAGGCGGUUGUGCAAGACAGAUGUGAAAUCCCCGGGCUCAACCUGGGAAUUGCAUUUGUGACUGUACGGCUAGAGUGUGUCGAGGGUAGGGUAUACUCGUGU